UGGGGAAUUUUCCGCAAUGGGCGAAAACCCUGACGGAGCAACCCCCGCGUGAGGGGAUGAAGGCCCCUGGGCUGUAAACCUCUUUUAUCAAGGAAGAAGAUCUGACGGUACUUGAUGAAUAAGCCACGGCUAAUUCCCGUGCCAGCAGCCGCGGUAAUACGGGAGUGGCAAGCGUUAUCCGGAAUUAUUGGGCGUAAAGCGUCCGCAGGCGGCUUUUCAAGUCUGCUGUUAAAGCGUGGAGCUUAACUCCAUCAUGGCAGUGGAAACUGAAAGGCUUGAGUAUGGUAGGGGCAGAGGGAAUUCCCGGUGUAGCGGUGAAAUGCGUAGAUAUCGGGAAGAACACCAGUGGCGAAGGCGCUCUGCUGGGCCAUUACUGACGCUCAUGGACGAAAGCCAGGGGAGCGAAAGGGAUUAGAUACCCCUGUAGUCA
rnacentral:rRNA from 1 species